rnacentral:tRNA from 1 species
UGACUUGUGGCUCAGUCAGUAGAGCACGAGACUCUUAAUCUCAGGGUUGUGGGUUCGAGCCCCACUUGGGCAA